AAUCUCAUCGUCUCCUACACCUCCAUCUUCUCUUCUUUCAAAUUCUUCUGGACCAUUUUUAUCUUGGGAUUCUUCCUUAGGUCCAUUUAGAUCCUUCACCAUCCCCUUGCGCCCCAAAACUAUGGUUAUGUUUCUUUCACUGGGAUUUUGAGGAUUCACAUUGUAACUCUCAUGUUGGUGGUGCGAGUUAUUGACUUUGUAUAGCAGCCACAUGCAAAUUCCUACAAGCAAAACAGACUGAAGAACCCUUUUCUUAUCCAACACUUUUGAUCUGUAAUUUCGCCCACUUGAAUGGUGGGAUAUAAGAUUUUGUUCCAUUGAUCCCUGAAGAU
rnacentral:misc_RNA from 1 species